CCGUCCCCACCCUGGUCUGGAACUAAGUUCCAGCACAUCACGUGGUGGUCGACGGGUGGGAGGCGGAGUCUCAGCGCGCGGGAGCCGGACUGGCGGCGUGAAGUUUCUGAAGACAGAGGUGGCCGUCCGUGCUGGUUAGGAAGGACGACGGGCAUGGUUCGUCGGCGCGGCGGACGGCGGUGGUUGGGGCCGCGCGACACGGUUCUUCGGUGACAGCGUAGCCUGGACACGCACGGGAUGCGGCCGAUGGGCGACACGAUGAUUGGGGCCUCCAUCUGGCCGCCAUGGCAAUCCAACCCGCGAAGGUCGACCUCGCGCUCCAUCCGGAGGUAAUUGCACUCGGCUGCAGACGACUCCAGCAGGCGGCUAGGCUCGCCGUCGGCCGCUCCUGUGGCUACCUCGCCGACGAGGAAAUCUCCAGCACUCCGAAGCGAAUCUGCCGCCACUGCCCAAGCCCCACUCCGACAUUCUCCUCCGCCAUUGACAGAGCCGCGCGGGCCAGCUCUGUGCUCUGUCUAUCCCCGCACGGACCGUGACAAUGCACCCCGCUAGUGAGCGUGGGCAGCUUCGUGAGCAUUUGAGUUUGUCCUUUUUUUGUCGUUCUGAAUUUGUUUCAACUUUUUUUCGAGAUGGAUUAACUUAGGGAAGGAAUCAGGUCCAUUUUCUGCACGGUGUGUUCCUGAUCCAGAUCUAUUUUGUUAAUCUGUGGGGAUUUUGUGGUGCAAAUGAGUUCCCAAUUCAGAGGAAGGGUCGUCCUUUCCGUUUGAAUGUCUAGCAUUGACAUAUUUGUUUGACGUGCUAUUUUGGAAAAAUACAUUCGAAUUGGUGUAUGAUGUUUUAGAUUUGAUUCCAGGUUUAGUUCGAGAUUUAAUUCUAGAUUUGUUAUUGAACAUUUAUUUUUCUUUUGUUCCCAGGUUUAAUUCCAGUUUUUUCAUUAAACAUUUUUUCGGUGGAUGUGAGAUCAAGGCAACACUAGAAAGUCUUUGGUUUUUACA